UCGAAUAAGCAUGGUAAAAUGGCACCUGC
rnacentral:piRNA from 2 species